rnacentral:rRNA from 1 species
AAAAAACUAGCAUAUCAAUAAGCGGAGGAAAAGAAACUAACAAGGAUUCCCCUAGUAACUGCGAGUGAAGCGGGAAAAGCUCAAAUUUAAAAUCUGGCAGUCUUUGGCUGUCCGAGUUGUAAUCUAGAGAAGUAUUAUCCGCGCUGGACCGUGUACAAGUCUCCUGGAAUGGAGCGUCAUAGAGGGUGAGAAUCCCGUCUUUGACACGGACUGCCAGGGCUUUGUGAUGUGCUCUCAAAGAGUCGAGUUGUUUGGGAAUGCAGCUCAAAAUGGGUGGUAAAUUCCAUCUAAAGCUAAAUAUUGGCGAGAGACCGAUAGCGAACAAGUACCGUGAGGGAAAGAUGAAAAGAACUUUGGAAAGAGAGUUAAACAGUACGUGAAAUUGCUGAAAGGGAAACGCUUGAAGUCAGUCGCGUUGUCCAGGGAUCAACUCUUGCUUUUGCUUGGUGUACUUUCUGGUUAACGGGUCAGCAUCAAUUUUGACUAUUGGAAAAAGAUCAAGGGAAUGUGGCAUCUUUGGAUGUGUUAUAGCCCUUGGUUGCAUACAUUAGUUGGGAUUGAGGAACUCAGCACGCCGCAAGGCCGAGUUUUUAACUACGUACGUGCUUAGGAUGCUGGCAUAAUGGCUUUAAUCGACCCGUCUUGAAACACGGACCAAGGAGUCUAACAUGCCUGCGAGUGUUUGGGUGGAAAACCCGAGCGCGCAAUGAAAGUGAAAGUUGAGAUCCCUGUCGUAGGGAGCAUCGACGCCCGGACUUGACCUUUUGUGACGGUUCCGCGGUAGAGCAUGUAUGUUGGGACCCGAAAGAUGGUGAACUAUGCCUGAAUAGGGUGAAGCCAGAGGAAACUCUGGUGGAGGCUCGUAGCGAUUCUGACGUGCAAAUCGAUCGUCAAAUUUGGGUAUAGGGGCGAAAGACUAAUCGAACCAUCUAGUAGCUGGUUCCUGCC